rnacentral:rRNA from 1 species
AUUGAACGCUGGCGGCAGGCCUAACACAUGCAAGUCGAACGAGUGGCGGACGGGUGAGUAAUGUCUGGGAACCUGCCCGAUGGAGGGGGCUAACUACUGGAAACGGUAGCUAAUACCGCAUACCAUCGGAUGUGCCCUGAUGGGAUUAUCUAGUAGGUGGGGUAACGGCGCACCUAGGCGACGAUCCCUAGCUGGUCUGAGAGGAUGACCAGCCAAACUGGAACUGAGACACGGUCCAGACUCCUACGGGAGGCAGCAGUGGGGAAUAUUGCACAAUGGGCGAAAGCCUGAUGCAGCAAUGCCGCGUGUAUGAAGAAGGCCUUCGGGUUGUAAAGUACUUUCAGCGGGGAGGCGUUACUCGCAGAAGAAGCACCGGCUAACUCCGUGCCAGCAGCCGCGGUAAUUC